UACGGAGGGGACUAGCGUUGUUCGGAAUUACUGGGCGUAAAGCGCACGUAGGCGGAUUUGUAAGUUAGAGGUGAAAGCCCAGGGCUUAACCCUGGAAUUGCCUUUAAGACUGCAUCGCUAGAAUCGUGGAGAGGUAAGUGGAAUUCCGAGUGUAGAGGUGAAAUUCGUAGAUAUUCGGAAGAACACCAGUGGCGAAGGCGGGUCUCUGGACAGUUCCUGACGCUGAGGCACGAAGGCCAGGGGAGCAAACGGG
rnacentral:rRNA from 1 species